rnacentral:lncRNA from 1 species
AUGAGGAGGGGUGCAGCCACCAUCCGAAAGACUUACAAGCAGGUGCAAACCAGAGUUCCUGAAACCGUGAAAGUUAAAUCUCCUCAAGAAGCCCAAGCAGAGCCCGGAGCACAGGACACCUACACGUCGUGGACUUUGGCUCUGUCCAUUCGGGCUCAGCUCCGACGGAUCCUCCAGCAGAGCCUUCACCAGCCAAGAGCUCCUGCCACACGACAACUCCAUCUCCACCCUGCUUCUCAGAUCCGGCCCGGCCCAGGGGCGCCCUUCUCCCUGUCUGCGAAAACUGGCUCCGUCUCCAACAUACCCAUGCCGGGCGAACCUGCGCUAGUCCGUCCCAUACGUCCUAGUGUUGAAACACGAAGGAAGUCACACUCUCGUGCUUGACUUUUCUCCCCUAAAAACAGGGGUAAUGAUAAAGACUAAUGUCUAGCUUUUAGAGCUGUUCCGAGGUUGAAGGAAAAGAAGGCAUGAAAAUGGUAAGGCACACAAUUUAAAAACAGAGAAGUAAACAUUUAGCUAUUGUUACUAUUCACACCUUCCAAGUGUCCUUUUGUUUUUGUUUUUGUUUUUUGCUUUUCAAGGCCACACCUGCAGCAUAUGGAAGUUCCUAGGCAAGGGGUCGUCAAGUCAGAGCUACUGUUACCAGCCUACGCCACAGGCACAGCAAUGCAGGAUCCGAGCCAUGUCUGCAACCUACACCAUAGCCCACGACAACACCAGAUCCUUAACCCCCUGAAUGAGGCCAGGGAUCGAACCUGCAGCCUCAUGGAUACUAGUCAGAUUCAUAGCUCACUAAGCCACAGAGGGAACUCCCUGAUGCCGUCUCUUUUUAAUUGUUGCUGAUUCCAACAGAAUCUUAACUGUCAUCGCCUCACGUCUGAGUAUUUAAGAGCUUUCCCACGGGUUUCUUCACCGUCAAGUCCCCCCUUCGUGAGCUGAGGCGUUAGUUGUUAGUUAUUCCCCACUUUGGCCUCCCCAUGGCAUCCAGCUCCAGGCCUGAACACACAAGUGCCUCACCCUCCCCCACUGGACCAGGGUAAACCCCUGGCUGACUCACAGCUCACUCUCCGGGGCAGUUUCCAGGAACCACCAGGAGCCAGCGGGAGAUGCGUUACACCCCCUCUCUCCACAGGCGUGGCCCUCGCAGUGACCCCAAGAUGCAAGCAAGACGGAAGCUGCCUCUGCCAGCUGGGCAAAAAUAUCUGACCCCCACACCACCAGACCAGCUGUUCUGAAAGCCUGACGGGGGUCUCUGUCUCUGUCCCUUCUGGUGUCCCCACAGCGUCCCGAAAGGAAAAGGGACCUGAAGCAGAUUCUGCGCCUUCUGUUCCCAGCUCUACUGAGAGAGAAGGGACACACAACGGCAGGUACGUCAGGUGUACCA